GACGAACGCUGGCGGCGUGCUUAACACAUGCAAGUCGAACGGAAAGGCCCUGCUUUUGUGGGGUGCUCGAGUGGCGAACGGGUGAGUAACACGUGAGUAACCUGCCCUUGACUUUGGGAUAACUUCAGGAAACUGGGGCUAAUACCGGAUAGGACCUCCUGCUGCAUGGUGGGGGUUGGAAAGUUUCGGCGGUUGGGGAUGGCCUCCCGGCUUAUCAGCUUGUUGGUGGGGUAGUGGCUUACCAAGGCUUUGACGGGUAGCCGGCCUGAGAGGGUGACCGGCCACAUUGGGACUGAGAUACGGCCCAGACUCCUACGGGAGGCAGCAGUGGGGAAUAUUGCACAAUGGGCGGAAGCCUGAUGCAGCAACGCCGCGUGCGGGAUGACGGCCUUCGGGUUGUAAACCGCUUUCGGCUGUGACGAAGCGUGAGUGACGGUAAUGGGUAAAGAAGCACCGGCUAACUACGUG
rnacentral:rRNA from 1 species